UACGGAGGAUGCGAGCGUUAUCCGGAUUUAUUGGGUUUAAAGGGUGCGUAGGCGGAUUUUUAAGUCAGCGGUGAAAUUUUGCAGCUUAACUGUAACAGUGCCGUUGAUACUGGGGAGCUAGGAUUUGGUUGCUGUGGGUGGAAUGUGUGGUGUAGCGGUGAAAUGCUUAGAGAUCACACAGAAUAUCGAUUGCGAAGGCAGCUCACAAAGCCAAGAUUGACGCUGUGGCACGAAAGUGUGGGGAUCAAACAGGA
rnacentral:rRNA from 1 species